GCUGGCGGCGUGCUUAACACAUGCAAGUCGAACGGAAAGGCCCUGCUUUUGUGGGGUGCUCGAGUGGCGAACGGGUGAGUAACACGUGAGUAACCUGCCCUUGACUUUGGGAUAACUUCAGGAAACUGGGGCUAAUACCGGAUAGGAGCUCCUGCUGCAUGGUGGGGGUUGGAAAGUUUCGGCGGUUGGGGAUGGACUCGCGGCUUAUCAGCUUGUUGGUGGGGUAGUGGCUUACCAAGGCUUUGACGGGUAGCCGGCCUGAGAGGGUGACCGGCCACAUUGGGACUGAGAUACGACCCAGACUCCUACGGGAGGCAGCAGUGGGGAAUAUUGCACAAUGGGCGGAAGCCUGAUGCAGCAACGCCGCGUGCGGGAUGACGGCCUUCGGGUUGUAAACCGCUUUCGCCUGUGACGAAGCGUGAGUGACGGUAAUGGGUAAAGAAGCACCGGCUAACUACGUGCCAGCAGCCGCGGUGAUACGUAGGGUGCGAGCGUUGUCCGGAUUUAUUGGGCGUAAAGGGCUCGUAGGUGGUUGAUCGCGUCGGAAGUGUAAUCUUGGGGCUUAACCCUGAGCGUGCUUUCGAUACGGGUUGACUUGAGGAAGGUAGGGGAGAAUGGAAUUCCUGGUGGAGCGGUGGAAUGCGCAGAUAUCAGGAGGAACACCAGUGGCGAAGGCGGUUCUCUGGGCCUUUCCUGACGCUGAGGAGCGAAAGCGUGGGGAGCGAACAGGCUUAGAUACCCUGGUAGUCCACGCUGUAAACGGUGGGUACUAGGUGUGGGGUCCAUUCCACGGGUUCCGUGCCGUAGCUAACGCUUUAAGUACCCCGCCUGGGGAGUACGGCCGCAAGGCUAAAACUCAAAGGAAUUGACGGGGCCCCGCACAAGCGGCGGAGCAUGCGGAUUAAUUCGAUGCAACGCGUAGAGCCUUACCUGGGUUUGACAUGGAUCGGGAGUGCUCAGAGAUGGGUGUGCCUCUUUUGGGGUCGGUUCACAGGUGGUGCAUGGCUGUCGUCAGCUCGUGUCGUGAGAUGUUGGGUUAAGUCCCGCAACGAGCGCAACCCUUGUUCACUGUUGCCAGCACGUUAUGGUGGGGACUCAGUGGAGACCGCCGGGGUCAACUCGGAGGAAGGUGGGGAUGACGUCAAGUCAUCAUGCCCCUUAUGUCCAGGGCUUCACGCAUGCUACAAUGGCUGGUACAGAGAGUGGCGAGCCUGUGAGGGUGAGCGAAUCUCGGAAAGCCGGUCUCAGUUCGGAUUGGGGUCUGCAACUCGACCUCAUGAAGUCGGAGUCGCUAGUAAUCGCAGAUCAGCAACGCUGCGGUGAAUACGUUCCCGGGGCUUGUACACACCGCCCGUCAAGUCAUGAAAGUUGGUAACACCCGAAGCCGGUGGCCUAACCGUUGUGGGGGAGCCGUCGAAGGUGGGACUGGUGAUUAGGAC
rnacentral:rRNA from 1 species